UCAGGGUGCGAUUACAUGCGGCGUAACUUGCGUAAGCGUAACUGCGGCGUAACUUGUGCUGACCAAUCACAUCGUCUCAUUUGAGUCGGAACUAGCGGAUGAUUGUGCAGGCUGGUGUAGUCAGGUGUAGUUAUUACACACAGGACGGGAACACGGGAACGCAACACAAACGAGAAAAAU